rnacentral:rRNA from 1 species
CCUACGGGUGGCAGCAGUGGGGAAUAUUGCGCAAUGGGCGAAAGCCUGACGCAGCGACGCCGCGUGAGGGAUGAAGGUCUUCGGAUCGUAAACCUCUGUCAGCAGGGAAGAACGGUCACGGGGCUAAGCAGCAGUGAAUUGACGGUACCGGCAAAGGAAGCACCGGCUAACUCCGUGCCAGCAGCCGCGGUCAUACGGAGGGUGCGAGCGUUAAGCGGAAUUACUGGGCGUAAAGCGCUCGUAGGCGGUAUGUCAAGUCAAGGGUGAAAUCCCCGCGCUCAACGUGGGAACUGCCUUUGAAACUGGCAACCUGGUGUGUGUGAGUGGAUAGUGGAAUUCCCGGUGUAGUCG